UAGUGUCCUGACACACACACACACACACACACACACACACACUACUACUACACUUUAUGAACACACAGAGCAGCUUGUCAACAACCAGUUUGUCUUCUUGACCCAUAACUGCUCCUCUCUCGGUGUCGGCCGACUUAAGAACCUCCCUUUCCAGUGAAAUGUUGACAGCCUUGGGGAAAGACGAGGAGCAGGAAGAAAGAAGACGGCCCGGCUUUUUUUCCCAGAAGUGGGGCCAAGAGGAGUGAAAAUGGGGCGUGGCUUCAGCCAAAGAGAAGUGUCAAUCACACAUGGGGUCAGUGAAGGCAUCGCCAAUGUGUGCAUGCUGUGCAGAAGUUGCACAAUCCCUGCUCUUCCAAGGGGGUUUUCUAAGAAUGUUGCUCCCACGAAGGAACCACCCACACCGUGACCUACAUAUGAGACCUUGGACGUAUGCAACACACGUGUUGUGCGGCCCCCGACAAGCUCCACUUUCAAGAUGGAGCACACAAACUAGAAGACAUGUUCUUCUCUGCAUUCAACCAAGACAACGGUGUGGAACACGCGGUGACCUCGUGCCAGGUCCCUCCGUGGUGCCGUCAAGAGGCUCGGAGUCGCCGUGAGGACAGAAGAGCUAAAUUAGGACCACGCCGUGGUUGUGAAGCUGUUCUCGGAUUUAUCACGGGCCGCAGCAGCCGGGUUGGAUUACAUCUGAAGCAUCAAAACAUGUAAGUGUGUCCUGUCACACGCUUACAUGUCAUACAUUCAACAAUGAGCGUCUCAGUAGUACUCCAUAUAUAGGAUCCUGAUUGGCUCAGUGGCGUAGUAGACCUAUGUAUUCAUUAAAACCAAGGCAGAGGUUUUAUUUAACAGUUGAACACAUUUGGCCACUCUAACAUUAUACACAGUUUGAACAGUAACACCGUGUUUGAAUAUUUAAUCAAGGGAUUCUUUGGCGUACCACUAGAUGGAGAUUGUGUACCAAUAGUUGUACACGUACCACAGUUUAAUAAUCGCUAUUUUAUGCGUCACAACAUAUCAUAGAAAUUAGAGAUGUCCGAUAUUAUCGGCCGAUAAAUGCUUUAAAAUGUAAUAUUGGAAAUAAUCGGUAUCGGUUUCAAAAAGUAAAAUGUAUGACUUUUUAAAACACCGCCUCACGGAGUGGUACACGGACGUAGGGAAGAGUACAGAGCGUCAAUGAACCUUCAAGACAUUGCCUUCGCCUGUCGUCCCAAUCAUAUAAUACCUACAGCUUUUGGUAAGUGAAAGCAAGGCCCACUUGGUCAACACCCAUACAGGUCACACUGAGGGUGGCCGUAUAAAAGACUUAACACUGUUACAAAUAUGCGCCACACAGUGAACCCACACCAAACAAGAAUGACAAACACAUUUCGGGGGAACAUCCGCACCAAAACAAAACAUAAACACAACAAAACAA